UUUUAUUGGAGAGUUUGAUCCUGGCUCAGGACGAACGCUGGCGGCGUGCCUAAUACAUGCAAGUCGAGCGCGGGAAGCAGGUAGAUCCCUCCGGGGUGAAACCUGUGGAACGAGCGGCGGACGGGUGAGUAACACGUGGGCAACCUGCCUGAAAGUCCGGGAUAACCCCGGGAAACCGGAGCUAAU
rnacentral:rRNA from 1 species